GUCCAGACUCCUACGGGAGGCAGCAGUGGGGGAUAUUGCACAAUGGGGGGAACCCUGAUGCAGCGACGCCGCGUGGGCGAGGGAGCGCCUCGGCGCGUAAAGCCCUUUCGGCGGGGGAGAACGAUGACGGUACCCGACGAAGAAGCACCGGCUAAAUACGUGCCAGCAGCCGCGGGAAUACGUAGGGGGCAAGCGUUAUCCGGAUUUACUGGGUGUAAAGGGAGCGUAGACGGCAGUGCAAGUCUGGAGUGAAAGGCGGGGGCUCAACCCCCGGACUGCUCUGGAAACUGUACGGCUGGAGUGCAGGAGAGGUAAGUGGAAUUCCUAGUGUAGCGGUGAAAUGCGUAGAUAUUAGGAGGAACACCAGUGGCGAAGGCGGCUUACUGGACUGUAACUGACGUUGAGGCUCGAAAGCGUGGGGAGCAAACGGGAUUAGAUACCCCCGUA
rnacentral:rRNA from 1 species